UGGGGAAUAUUGCACAAUGGGCGAAAGCCUGAUGCAGCGACGCCGCGUGAGGGAUGACGGCCUUCGGGUUGUAAACCUCUUUCAGUAGGGAAGAAGCGAAAGUGACGGUACCUGCAGAAGAAGCACCGGCUAACUACGUGCCAGCAGCCGCGGUAAUACGUAGGGUGCGAGCGUUAUCCGGAAUUAUUGGGCGUAAAGAGCUCGUAGGCGGUUUGUCGCGUCUGUCGUGAAAGUCCGGGGCUUAACCCCGGAUCUGCGGUGGGUACGGGCAGACUAGAGUGCAGUAGGGGAGACUGGAAUUCCUGGUGUAGCGGUGGAAUGCGCAGAUAUCAGGAGGAACACCGAUGGCGAAGGCAGGUCUCUGGGCUGUAACUGACGCUGAGGAGCGAAAGCAUGGGGAGCGAACA
rnacentral:rRNA from 2 species